rnacentral:lncRNA from 1 species
AGAUGAGGUCCCCUGUAUCUUUGAUGUAACUUAUUUUUCAUUUAUCGCUGGUGUAGUUUGUCGCUUUCCUUUUUAACUUCCUUCCUUUUUCUUUUUCUUUUCUCGAGUGAGGGUUUUUCCUCUGCUCUUAGUGGGGUCGCGGGAGCGCGGAGGGGCCAUCGAGAAGGUUUUCUUUUUCUUAUCUGGUCUUGAAUGAUCGGAUCUUAGUUGGCAUCAGGAUGAGGUUCU